CCUACGGGGGGCUGCAGUCGAGAAUCAUUCACAAUGGGGGAAACCCUGAUGGUGCGACGCCGCGUGGGGGAAUGAAGUUCUUCGGAUUGUAAACCCCUGUCAUGUGGGAGCAAAUUAAAAAGAUAGUACCACAAGAGGAAGAGACGGCUAACGCUGUGCCAGCAGCCGCGGUAAUACAGAGGUGUCAAGCGUUGUUAGGAAUCACUGGGCGUAAAGCGUGCGUAGGCUGUUUCGUAAGUCGUGUGUGAAAUGCGCGGGCUCAACCAGCGGACGGCACAUGAUACUGGGAGACUAGAGUAAUGGAGAGGGAAGCGGAAUUCGCGGUGUAGCAGUGAAAUGCGUAGAUAUCGCGAGGAACACUCGUGGCGAAGGCGGGUUCCUGGACAUUAACUGACGCUGAGGCACGAAGGCCAGGGGAGCGAAAGGGAUUAGAUACCCGAGUAGUC
rnacentral:rRNA from 1 species